UUCAAUAUCAUGAAGGUGGUGAAGACUAUCAUCCAUAAUUUCUUUUACAUUUCUUCUACAAAUAUUCUUUGGGUCAAGAGAGUACAAAAUACAAUAUAUGGUUCACUAAAGUCCAAAAUUGCGAUGCUUCUAUUUUGGAUCAUCGAUUGUUGUAUUCUACAAGGCGGACGCCCAUCGAACUACAAGCACAAGGGUAGGGGUGAAAUAUGUUUUUAGUCAAGUGCAUUUAUGCAUGCCUCAAUCGGAAAAUCAAGUCAGUUUUUCCUUCUCGUUAUUCUUUAUUUAGGAAACUACAUAUUAGUUACUGACCAAAUUUCAGUCAAAUACAUCUUUUACACAUUAUCUUAUACAUUUAAGAACAAAAAUUAACAAAUUAGGACAAACUAAUGUCCAUAUGUCAUUUGUCACUACAUAUUUUACCAAACUACCAUGCACUACAUAUUCUACUGCUACUAUGGACGUGUUACUACCGUGUCACCGUGUCGACGAGAGACAUGCUACUGUCGUGUCGACCGGAGACGUGUUACUGCCGUGUCGACCGGAGACGUGCUACUGCUGUCACACCCCAAUUUUCGAAGGAUAAAUUUUCAAAAAUUUGGGCAUGAUAUAACUUAAAAUCUUAAUAUCCAAAAACCUGCUCAACAACUAACAAACUAAAAACAAAUACUAGAAAUGUAAAUGUCAACAAACUCAACAACUGAGUUAAACAUUAUAUCUCUUUAAUUACAUCAACUUCAAAAGUCUAGUAAUAAUAAUGUCGCUCACAUGAGCUUAAAGACAAAUUAACAAAAUAUAUAAAAAUUGCACAUUGUCUAAAACCCAGCUCCUAAGCCACCGCCUCAACCCUGCUGAUUAUCACCUGCAGGUCUAACCCCUACACCAAAAAUAGGUGCACCGGGUUGUAAACAACAAACCCGGUAAGCUAAAAAACUCGUAUGAGUAACUCUCAAAAUAUAUCUCAACCCAACAUCACACAAAAUAAAACCGAAAAUUCCUGCUUAAAACUUAGUUCAGGAAUUACCUCAACAAUAAAAAUUCAAAGAAAGUAAUUAAGAAAACAUAACAAUUCACAAAACAAUCAAUCAUAAGAGAAUCCUGCAAAUAAUGAUAGUUCAGGAAUUCCACUCAAAAUUCACACAAUAAGAAUUGAAGAAUCUCCUGCAUUAAGCAUAGUUCAGGAGAUACUCAAAACAAGUUAAAUGACAACAAUUAAGAACAAAGUUAAAACCACAUUUUCAACACUUUCACAAAUAACAUGUACCCAUGAGUCCCAGAUAUUAAUAAAUACCUCUCAUGACCUACAACAACAAUUUGUGCACCCAUGGGUCCCAGAUACCAUAAGGUAUCUCCCAUGACCUACACCGACAGACGGACUAGAGCUCUAUUCUUAACCGUAACCAAUCACCCGACCAAAGGCUUGGAACCCAGUUUGAUUGUCCAAUAACACAUCACAAAAUAAUAAUAGCGUCAUAACCGUAACCAAUCACCCGACUAAAGGCUUGGAACCCAGUUAUACUAUCUACACAACAAUUCUAAAAAAGAGUAGAAUCAUCAUAACCGCAACCAAUCACCCGUUUAAGGGUUUGGAACUCAGUUUGACUAUCUACUUGUUUUAUCUUACCUAUGAGCCGUUGGCGAUCAAGCUCAUUUAUUUUUAAAAACAAACAAAAGCAUAUUCUUUAAUUCAACCUCAUCAACCACUCAAGGAGCAUAUCAUAAAAAUUAUAUCCUUCCAUAUAGAUAUAUUUAUAUGAACAGACAUAGAUACUUCCACAAGAAAUAACCUAUCAAUCACCAAUAAUAUUAUGAUCACAAGGACCUUAAAAAUAAUAAUCAUAUCAUAGGAAAACUUGUUUUACCUUACGUAUGAGCCGUUGGCGAUCAAGCUCAUUUAUUUUAAAACAAACAAAAAACAAAAUUUUUAAAUUAUAAUCAUUACAAUCAUCAUAAACAUUAUCAUCAUCAUCAUCCUCAUCAUCAAAAUCAAUCAUCAUAAUCAUCAUAAACAUUAUCAUCAUCAUCAUCCUCAUCCUCAUCAUCAAAUUCAAUCAUCAUAAUCAUCAUAAACAUUAUCAUCAUCAUCAUCCUCACCAUCAAAUUCAAUCAUCAUAAUAAUUAUCACCAUCAUCAUCCUCAUCAUCAAAAUCAAUCAUCAUAAUAAUUAUCACCAUCAUCAUAAUAAUUAUCACAAUUUCAUAAAUAAAUUGGUCCCAAGUGAACCUUGGUGAGAUGUUACUCACCUAAUAAGCUCGUUGCAAUUUCCACAACAACAAGAGCAAGCCAAAACACCACCUCACAAAUCACCUAAAAACACACAAUUAAAAC
rnacentral:lncRNA from 1 species